AACGCCGGGUUAAGGCGCCCGAUACGGACGCUCAUCAGACCCCAGAAAAGGUGUUGGUUGAUACAGACAGCAGGACGGUGGCCAUGGAAGUCGGAAUCCGCUAAGGAGUGUGUAACAACUCACCUGCCGAAUCAACUAGCCCUGAAAAUGGAUGGCGCUGGAGCGUCGAGCCCAUACCCGGCCGUCGCGGCAGUCCGCUCCGGCCGAGCCAGGCCGCGACG
rnacentral:ncRNA from 1 species